GGUCCCAUAGUACAACGGAUAGUAUGCGGGUUUCCGAAACCCUUGAUCCAGGUUCGAUUCCUGGUGGGACCA
rnacentral:tRNA from 1 species